AUGGACGAAAGUCAGACGCAGCGACGCCGCGUGGGCGAUGAAGGCCUUCGGGUUGUAAAGCCCUUUUAUGGGGGAAGAGAAAAAGGACGGUACCCCAGGAAUAAGUCCCGGCUAACUACGUGCCAGCAGCCGCGGUAAAACGUAGGGGACAAGCGUUAUCCGGAUUCACUGGGCGUAAAGAGCGUUGAGGCGGUUCCGUAAGUUGGGCGUGAAAGCUCCGGGCUUAACUCGGAGAUGUCGUUCAAUACUGCGGGGCUUGAGGACAGCAGAGGAAGGUGGAAUUCCCGGUGUAGUGGUGAAAUGCGUAGACAUCGGGAGGAACACCCGUGGCGAAGGCGGCCUUCUGGGCUGUUCCUGACGCUGAAGGCGAAAGCUAGGGGAGCGAACGGGAUUAGAUACCCCGGUAGUCCUAGCUGUAAACGAUGGAUGCUGGGUGUGGGGGGUGUAAAUUCCCUCUGUGCCGAAGCAAACGCGUUAAGCAUCCCGCCUGGGGACUACGGCCGCAAGGCUAAAACUCAAACGAAUUGACGGGGGCCCGCACAAGCAGCGGAGCGUGUGGUUUAAUUCGAUGCUACGCGAAGAACCUUACCUGGGUUUGACAUGCACGUGGUAGGGAACCGAAAGGGGACCGACCUUCGGGAGCGUGCACAGGUGCUGCAUGGCUGUCGUCAGCUCGUGCCGUGAGGUGUCGGGUUAAGUCCCGUAACGAGCGCAACCCUUGCCCUUAGUUACAAGUGUCUAAGGGGACUGCCCGGGACAACUGGGAGGAAGGUGGGGAUGACGUCAAGUCAGCAUGGCCUUUAUAUCCAGGGCUACACACACGCUACAAUGGCCGGUACAAUAGGUUGCGAAGUCGUGAGGCGGAGCCAAUCCUCAAAGCCGGUCUCAGUUCGAAUUGCAGUCUGCAACUCGACUGCAUGAAGCUGGAGUUGCUAGUAAUCGCAGGUCAGCUAUACUGCG
rnacentral:rRNA from 1 species